ACACAAUUGUAUUGUGUUUAAUCAACUUAAAAUGUUUAAUUUUAAAUUUUACUUAAUUAUCAAUCGUUAAAGUAACGUAAAGGGUUUAAUUUCGUGAUUCAAAAAAAACCGGAAGUGACGAUUUCCAACGCAUUUGAUGACGGUGUGGAGGGGAGCAAGAGGUAUCAGUCAGGUAAGAAAAUCUAAAGUUUUUAUUGUGUUAAGUCAAAGUCUUUAAUUUCUCUUAGAGUUUCUGUUUUGAGGUGCUUUUGUUUUGCAGUCUAGUAUUGUGUAAUCGGUUUAUUGCACCGUUAAUAGAUGAUUUUGAAGCGUUGGGAGAUGUGAAAGCGCACGACUCUCUGUAAUGUAUUUACUUUAGUAUAUAUAUAUAUAUAUAUAUACACUAGGGCUGAAACAAUUACUCGACAUUAUCGACAACGUCGACGAUAAAAAUAAAAUUUUCAGCAAAUGUUUUUGAGUAACGUUAGUGGUUUGAUCUCGUAUCUGCCUGAUUUGAAAGCCUGCAUUAAUGCAGUUUGACCAGUGUGGCGCUGUAGCGCAAGAUUGUAAUACACUCUCCUGAUUCAAUUAAAAAGAAGAAGAUAGCACUUCAGUUUGAGGCAAACCGACCCGAUCCGAACCUUGGAUGAAUAUGUUUGUGCAGAAUUUGAGACAUCCAGAAUUACCAUAGGCCCAUUAGAAUCAACAAUCUUUGCCAAACUUGAUUCGGACUGCAAAAUUUACGAAGAUGUUUUCAUACUGAAGAAGAGACCUUGGACAAAUACUGAAACCCUCUUGGUGCCCACUACACAGGCAGGGGUGUCCAGACCUGCUCUAGGAAAGCCAGUGUUCUGUUUGGUUCAGCUCUAACACACCUGCCUGGAACUUCAGACUAAUGAAAUUGAAGUAUCCAAAUGAAGACCCUAGCAGUAUGGAGUAUAUGGAUACAGACGUUGCCAGCAGUCAGGAGGUGAUCCAGAAGACUCAUGGGAAUCUAUUUGAAGCUGCAUCAUUGAAGACAGUCCAGCAGAAGUUGGAGUUUUAAAGGAAAAAGUUCUUC